rnacentral:lncRNA from 1 species
UCGGGUUUGAUAGGGACAAUGUGCCGUACUGUGGUUCAUAGGUCGUAUUUCAUGUUUGGUGAUGGAGUCUGCGAGCGGAUCGGGGUGUGCCCGGUGGUGGCCCCUUAGUGGGAGUUUUGGCAGAGCUUGUCAUGCGCUGUGGGGAGACCUCCAUAUAGCACUGCCUGAUGAGCAACACUGUCCUCUGUGGGAGGUGCAUGGAUGACAUUCUCGUUGUUGUGGACGGUCCGGAUCGGCAUCUGGAUUUGGAAAACAUGCUCACGGACCGGUCCCUCGGUUUGGGGCUGAUUGGGCAGAGACGGAGUGUGGAAGAAGUGCAAUAUCUAGAUCUUGGAAUUAAAAUAAUGGGAGGCGAGUGCAGCCUCGACAUGUACUGCAGAGACACUUAUGUACCA